rnacentral:rRNA from 1 species
AAUGUGUAAUAAAUGUGAAAGUACACACGGCCGGCACAGUAAAAAACUGAAAAUGGCACAUUAAAUCAGUUGCGAUUCCAUUGAUCACUCCAUCUAUUAGUUGGAUAACUGUAUUAAUUCUAGAGCUAAUGCAUGCGAUGAGCGCCGACCUCCCGGGGUGAAUGUAUUUAUCAGACCAAGACCAAUCUGGGCUCGCUAGGCCACUUUAGUGACUGUAGAUAUCCUCGGCCCGAUCACACAUCCCAGUGACAGUAACAAUACUUUUGGAUGUCUGCCCUAUCAACGUUCGAUGUUGACCAUGUGUUACAGGUAAUCAGGGUUUGAUUCGGAGAGGGAGCCUGAGAAACUGCCACCACAUCCAAGGAAGGCAGCAGGCACGCAAAUUACCCACUCCCAACUCGGAGAGACAGUGAUGAAAAAUAAUAAUACAGGACUCUUUCAAGGCAAUGUAAUUGAAAAAGUACACUUUAAAUAAUUUAACGAGGAUCUAUUGGAAGGCAAGUCUUGUGCCAGCAGCCACGGUAAUUCUGGAUCCAAAAGUGUGUAUUGAAGUUGCUACCCUUUUAAAGCUUGUAGCUGGUUCUUGGGAACGAGCAGGCGGUCUGCUGCAAGUUGAGAUACCUCCCGUCCCAGCCCCUGCAUCUUGGCUCUCCUUGGUGCUCUUGACUGCUCCUGGUGGUCUGAAGCAUUUACACUAAAAAAAUGUGGGUGUUCAAAGUAGGCCAGUCUACUGAAUCCUUCAGCUAGGAAUAAUGGAAUAGGACUCCAGUUCUAUUUUGAUGGUUUUCAGAACGGGGCCAUGUUUAAGAGGGACAGCUCUGAGCAUUCAUAUUGUGCAGCUAGAGGUUACAUUCUUGGACCUGCGCAUGAUGAACCAAAGCGAAAGCAUUUGCCAAGAAUAUUUUCAAUAAUCAAGAACGAAAGUUAAAGUUUCGAUGAGGAUCAGAUACCGUUGUAGUUCUGACCAUAAAUGAUGUGUUUUCCCAUGAACUGCCGAGCAGCUUCCAGGAAUCCACUGUCUUGGAUUCUGAGGAGAGUAUGGUUGCAAAGCUGAAACUUAAAGGAAUUGUUGGAAGGGCACCACCAGGUGUAGAGCCUGUCGCUCAAUUUGACUUCACACAGGAAACCUCACCCGGCCUGGACACGGAAAGGAUUGACAGAUUGAUAGCUCUUUCUCGAUUCUGUGGGUGAAGGUGAACAGCCGUUCUUAGUUCGUGGAGCGAUUUGUUUUCUUAAUUCUGAUAAUGAACGCGACUCCUCCAUGCUAACAAGUUCAGCGACCCCCCAGCGGUCAGCAUUCAACUUCUUAGAGGGACAAGUGGUUGUCAGCCAUACUAGAUCAAGCAAUAACAGGUCUGUGAUGCCUUAGAUGUCCAGGGCUGCACACCUAAAACACUGAAAGGAUCAGCAUUUGUCUAUCCUUCACUGACAGGUACGGGUCUCCCGCUGAACCAUGUUCCUGAUAGGGAUUGGGAUUGCAAUAAUUUCCCAUGAACGUGGAAUUCCCAAUAAUUCCCUUUGACACCGCCAUCGUUCCUACUAAUAGGAUGGUUUAAUGAGGUCUUCGGAUCAGCCCUCCAGGGUCGGCAACGGCCCUGGUGGAGCACGAGAAGACAAUCAAACUUGACUAUCUAGAAGAAGUAAAAGUUGAAACUAGGUUUCUGUAAGUGAACCUGUGGAAG